GAUUAUACAUCGAUCUUUUCGAAGCUCGAAAAUUGAUGAAGUUGAAGAAGUUGAGAGAGAUCAAGUUUUUCCAAAGCAUAAUUCCUAUCUAUAGAAUCGUUCAUACGUACAUUCUACCAUCUAUACGAUCCGUGAUGUUUCCCUUUGCGGAGCUUUGGACACCCUAUACAACAUCGUUUCGUUCUUAUCGCCCGCUUAAUCCAAUAUACCGGCUGCCUUGUAUUCCGUAUCCUCCGUGGAUCUUCGAAACUUUCACAGAAUAGAAGGGGAAUAGAAGGACUAUACCCGGAUCGGCCGAGAGGGAUCGUGUGAACCGGCGUCGUUACCAUAUUACUUUAAUAAUUCAACGUGACACUAGCCGUGAUGUAUUUCCAUUGGCGUAACGAACGAGGCAGCCGGUUGAAGCUGACGUUGUUGCGAGUCACGGCUAGAAUUACUCGCUCCGCUCCGCUCCGCUCGCUUGCCUUCGCGUGCGAAAUUCUCAAGCGGAGCGUAAAAAAAGCUUUGCCUAAUAACGAACUUCCUCGAGGCGGUUAUUUGUGCGUGGAUAGAGGAUCGUUUGACUGGAUAUCGGGGCGGUGUUUGUCAAGAUAACAGGGUGUGUAACGAGGAUGCUGGACCAAGGCUAUCUUUCUGGUGGAAAGUUUAAUUAAUCUGGAUUGGGCUUCUGUUCUUCUGCAAAUGAUGCAGGGAGGAAAAUGUGGAUCGUUGGAUACGAGCGUAAUUUUCCUAUUGUGAAAAUGGAGCACCGUAAUUUCGAAACUGAAAAUGGCUGAAAAGACCUCUCUAAACGUGAUACUUAAAACGUACUGAAAAGGUUAACGCUAUAAUUGUCUCAUUUUCUUAAAAACAUUAGGCGAUUCCAUUAAUUACACUUCAAAUUAAAUAUUCUCGAUUCAAGUUUAAAAAAUAUUCAAAUUUGUGUGUACAAUGUUCGUUAUUAAUUUCUUCAAAAUUAUGAAAAUAUUUAAAAUAUCGAGUUUCGAAACUAUCGUAAUAAAUUAUCGUACAUGAGAAAUUAAAUAAUCUUUCUUCCUUACUUUAAAGUUUCGUAGAUUGUCCACUAUACAGGCUAACAAAGCAUCUCGACCUUUGCUCACGGUCACGUUCUGGAUUUCUUCAGCGAAUCUGGGCAGGUCUGAGUCUGGAAAAUAAAUUUAAAAAAUUUGCUUCUUACAUGUUUGUAGAAAAAUCAAUUUUUUUAAAAGAUAAAAAUAUUUAAUAAUU